rnacentral:rRNA from 1 species
CCCAGACUCCUACGGGAGGCAGCAGUGGGGAAUAUUGGGCAAUGGGCGCAAGCCUGACCCAGCAACGCCGCGUGAAGGAAGAAGGCUUUCGGGUUGUAAACUUCUUUUAAGAGGGAAGAGAAGAAGACGGUACCUCUUGAAUAAGCCACGGCUAACUACGUGCCAGCAGCCGCGGUAAUACGGAGGAUGCGAGCGUUAUCCGGAUUUAUUGGGUUUAAAGGGUGCGUAGGCGGAAUGCCAAGUCAGCGGUAAAAUCGCGGGGCUCAACCCCAUCCAGCCGUUGAAACUGGGGAUCUAGAGUGUGCGAGAGGUAUGCGGAAUGCGUGGUGUAGCGGUGAAAUGCAUAGAUAUCACGCAGAACUCCGAUCGCGAAGGCAGCCUACCGGCGCGCAACUGACGCUCAUGCACGAAAGCGUGGGUAUCGAACAGGAUUAGAUACCCCAGUACAC